UUGGAGGGCAAGUCUGGUGCCAGCAGCCGCGGUAAUUCCAGCUCCAAUAGCGUAUAUUAAAGUUGUUGCAGUUAAAAAGCUCGUAGUUGAAUUUCGGGAUCAAAUUGUCGGUCGUGCCUCGGUACGUACUGGCAUUAUUGGUUCCUACCUUCUGAAGAACCGUGAUGUCAUUAAUUUGGUGUCGUGGGGAAUCAGGACUGUUACUUUGAAAAAAUUAGAGUGUUUAAAGCAGGCUUACGCUUGAAUACAUUAGCAUGGAAUAAUGAAAUAGGACGUUUGAUUCUAUUUUGUUGGUUUCUAGGAUUGACGUAAUGAUUAAUAGGGAUAGUUGGGGGCAUUAGUAUUCAAUUGUCAGAGGUGAAAUUCUUGGAUUUAUUGAAGACUAACUACUGCGAAAGCAUUUGCCAAGGAUGUUUUCAUUAAUCAAGAACGAAAGUUAGGGGAUCGAAGACGAUCAGAUACCGUCGUAGUCUUAACCAUAAACUAUGCCGACUAGGGAUCGGAUGAUGUUAAUUUUUUAAUGACUCAUUCGGCGCCUUACGGGAAAC
rnacentral:rRNA from 1 species